rnacentral:rRNA from 2 species
GGAUGCGAUCAUACCAGCACUAAAGCACCGGAUCCCAUCAGAACUCCGAAGUUAAGCUUGCUUGGGCGAGAGUAGUACUAGGAUGAGUGACCUCCUGGGAAGUCCUCGUGUUGCAUUCC